rnacentral:sRNA from 1 species
GCCAGAUGCAAUAGUGUACACUUGCAGUCCCAGCUACUCAGGAGGCUGAGGCUGGAGGAUCACAGGAGCCAAAGAGUUCAGGGUCAGCCUGGGCAACAUAGGGAGACCCUGACUCUU